GAGGACGCUGCAUUCGCAGACGGUGUCCUCCUCGCCACCAAUGCCUUGGGCAAGUGGACUGUCGGUUGGGAUGGAAGUGCUGCAGACGCUGGGGUGGAAAAUAAUGACAUCUCCAUCUACCACCUGGAAUGUCUUCAAGAUAUGGCCAAUGACCUGAGAUUACCGCCUGCUAUCGCUUUAUCUUUCUUUAUAUGAAUCAAUUGCUAUCUAUCAAACUGAACACAUUUAUGCAUUGAAGUAAAAUUUGGCAAAUAUUCCUUGAAAUAAAGCUAAAUGAGCAUUGCA